AACGAACGCUGGCGGCAUGCCUAACACAUGCAAGUCGAACGAGACCUUCGGGUCUAGUGGCGCACGGGUGCGUAACGCGUGGGAACCUGCCCUUAGGUUCGGAAUAACUCCCCGACAGGGGUGCUAAUACCGGAUAAUGUCUUCGGACCAAAGAUUUAUCGCCUUUGGAUGGGCCCGCGUUGGAUUAGCUCGUUGGUAGGGUAAAAGCCUACCAAGGCGACGAUCCAUAGCUGGUCUGAGAGGAUGAUCAGCCACACUGGGACUGAGACACGGCCCAGAAUCCUACGGGAGGCAGCAGUGGGGAAUAGUGGACAAUGGGCGAAAGCCUGAUACAGCAAGGCCGCGUGAGUGAUGAAGGCCUUAGGGUUGUAAAGCUCGUUUACCCGGGAUGAUAAUGACAGUACCGGGAGAAUAAGCGCCGGCUAACUCCGUG
rnacentral:rRNA from 1 species